rnacentral:rRNA from 1 species
AGGACGAACGCUGGCGGCGUGCUUAACACAUGCAAGUCGAGCGGAAAGGCCCUUCGGGGUACUCGAGCGGCGAACGGGUGAGUAACACGUGAGUAAUCUGCCCUUAGCUCUGGGAUAGCUCCGGGAAACCGGGAUUAAUACCAGAUACGACCACUUUAGACAUCUGCCGUGGUAGGAAAGUAAUUUCGGCUAAGGAUGAGCUCGCGGCCUAUCAGCUUGUUGGUGGGUAACGGCCUACCAAGGCGACGACGG